rfam:Triticum aestivum genome assembly, contig: Triticum_aestivum_CS42_TGACv1_scaffold_569869_7AS
AAAGCACUCCCUCCGUUCCAAAUUACUCGUGCAGAAAUGGAUGUAUCUAAAACUAAAAUACAUCUAGAUACAUCCAUACUUGCGACAAGUAAUUUGGAACGGAGGGAGUAACUG